GACGAACGCUGGCGGCGUGCCUAAUACAUGCAAGUAGAACGCUGAAGCGAGGAGCUUGCUCUUCUUGGAUGAGUUGCGAACGGGUGAGUAACGCGUAGGUAACCUGCCUGGUAGCGGGGGAUAACUAUUGGAAACGAUAGCUAAUACCGCAUAAAAUGGAUUAUCGCAUGAUAAUCCAUUGAAAGGUGCAAAUGCAUCACUACCAGAUGGACCUGCGUUGUAUUAGCUAGUUGGUGGGGUAACGGCUCACCAAGGCGACGAUACAUAGCCGACCUGAGAGGGUGAUCGGCCACACUGGGACUGAGACACGGCCCAGACUCCUACGGGAGGGAGCAGUAGGGAAACUUCGGCAAUGGACGGAAGUCUGACCGAGCAACGCCGAGUGAGUGAAGAAGGGUUUCGGAUCGGAAAGCUCUGUUGUAAGAGAAGAACGAGUGUGAGAGUGGAAAGUUCACACUGUGACGGUAGCUUACCAGAAAGGGACGGCUAACUACGUG
rnacentral:rRNA from 1 species